rnacentral:rRNA from 1 species
CACGUAUUUAGCCGGUGCUUCUUAUUCAGGUACCGUCAUUUCUUCUUCCUUGCCGAUAGGGCUUUACAUACCGAAAUACUUCCUCGCCCACGCGGCGUCGCUGCAUCAGGGUUCCCCCCAUUGUGCAAUAUUCCCCACUGCUGCCUCCCGCAGGAGUCUGGGCCGUGUCUCAGUCCCAAUGUGGCCGGCCGCCCUCUCAGGCCGGCUACUGAUCGUCGGUUUGGUGGGCCGCUGCCCCGCAACUGCCUAAUCAGACGCGGGCCCAUCCCAUACCACCGGAGUUUUUCCGCCGGGAGCCAUGCGGCCCCCAGCGCUUAUGCGGUGUUAGCAGCCGUUCCGGCUGUUAUCCCCGGUAUGGGCAGGUUGCCACGCGGUUACUCACCCGUCCGCCACUAGGCCGCGGGUCUCCGUCCCCGAAGGACUUCCUCCCCGCCGCCCCGUUCGACCUUGCAUGUGUUAAGCACGCCGCCAGCGUUCGACUCCUGAGCCAGGACUCAAACUCUCUGACGACGCCAAGGCACAC